AGUGAACGCUGGCGGUAGGCCUAACACAUGCAAGUCGAACGGCAGCACAGUAAGAGCUUGCUCUUACGGGUGGCGAGUGGCGGACGGGUGAGGAAUACAUCGGAAUCUACUUUUUCGUGGGGGAUAACGUAGGGAAACUUACGCUAAUACCGCAUACGACCUACGGGUGAAAGCAGGGGAUCUUCGGACCUUGCGCGAUUGAAUGAGCCGAUGUCGGAUUAGCUAGUUGGCGGGGUAAAGGCCCACCAAGGCGACGAUCCGUAGCUGGUCUGAGAGGAUGGUCAGCCACACGGGAACUGAGACACGGUCCAGACGCCUACGGGAGGCAGCAGUGGGGAAUAGUGGACAAAGGGCGCAAGCAUGAUCCAGCCAUACCGCGUGGGUGAAGAAGGCCUUCGGGUUGUAAAGCCCUUUUGUGGGGAAAGAAAAGCAGCAGGUUAAUACCCCGCUGUUCUGACGGUACCCAAAGAAUAAGCACCGGCUAACUUCGUG
rnacentral:rRNA from 1 species